CUUAAGUAGCUAAAAGGAAAUUUUACCCGAGUGCAGCGUUCUUUUGUCGCUCGCUUAAAAAAAAAAUGCAGCUAUAGUUACAAUACAAAUUCUGGCACUGCACUGAACUCAAACCUUUUACCGACAAACAUAACAGAAGACAGACAUAGCAUAAGAGGAAUCAGUACGGCAAGCAAAAGCAGCGUUAAGAGUGUCGGGAUUAAUUGAACAUUCACGACAGUCACUGACAUGCACAUGACGAAUUUUUAUAUUACUCCACAAAACAUUAUUCCGGAGAAGAGGGUUUAGCAUUUUCGAGAAGUACUUACGGUUUUCACGCCUAAAUAAAGGCCAGUAUGCAGCUCUCAAGAAAAGCAAAAACUCCAUUAAAAAUUACGCACAGGAAAUAGGUCCAAAACGUUGUCACCAAAACAAUCAAACCGAAAUUUUUUGUACAGAGGACAUACUCCAAUCAAAUGAUAGGUUUCUUCAAUAGCACUUAAAUUGCAAACUGAGCAGUUUACAGAAGCGACAUUUUUAAAAGAUCUUGCAAUAAGAGUUAGCAAGCCACUCCUUGCGCGGAAAAUCAUCGUUAAAGUCCAAAACGUUGUCACCAAAACAAUCAAACCGAAAUUUUUUGUACAGAGGACAUACUCCAAUCAAAUGAUAGGUUUCUUCAAUAGCACUUAAAUUGCAAACUGAGCAGUUUACAGAA